rnacentral:lncRNA from 1 species
CGAGGCGGGGCGCGGCGGGGCGCGUGCGCGCUAACGGCCCCCCGGGCGGGGGCGAGGGCAUUGGCGAGCUUCGCGUCUGUGAGGUGUGGGAUGGGGAGGCGGUGAAGGGGCGGCGGGAGGAUGGAGAACUAGGCGGUCCUGGGCGCUGGCUGUGGCAGGAUGAACCCGAAGCGGAGCGGGCGAGCCGCUGAGGAGGAGAGCCAGGACAAGCCUGAGCUGGGAUUUGCCAGACUGCCAGAAUCCUUAAAGAAGUGAGAGAUUCUUAAUUGCCCCUUUUUGGACCCUAGAGAUGGUCAGGGGUCUCACAGCUGUUUAUUUGUUGUGACAGAAUAACAAGCUUUAGAAAAUAAGGAGUGAAAACAUCAUUCAAUAUCCUUUUGACUCUCAAGCUUCUAUCGGUGAACUUCUGUUGCCCAGCCACUUGUUGAUGAUCACUGCAUGAACUUAUCAGAAAAAAGUUAUGGAUCUCUUUGAAAAAAAACGAUGGAAGACAUGAAUCUAAAUGAAGAAUGUAAAGCUCCUUUAAGAGAUCAAGACUUGACCACAAAAUGUGAGGUGGUUGUCCCAUGCAUUUCUGCAACUGCCAAAUCUAUGGAACACAGCAUUUUUCUAUGAAAAAAAACACAGCAAAGAUCUUAAAUGCCUCAUCUGUGUGUAGGAGCUUCCUUUGGAGCUUCAGCAGACUAUAGCAAAUGGUCUAACCGAAGCAAAUCCUUUUAUAUCCAGGCUUUUGUAUCCAAGAUGUAAUACAUGGACUUGACUCAACGAAUGCACAAUCUGAAAGGACUAUAAACUUAGAAAAGUGAAAUAUAUGUGCAUAUGUAGAAUUUGUAAAUAGAAUAAAUAUGAAUCAUUUAAUAGCUUAUUCCUGUUU